rnacentral:rRNA from 1 species
UUUUGGGCAAUGGGCGAAAGCCUGACCCAGCAACGCCGCGUGAAGGAUGAAGUAUUUCGGUAUGUAAACUUCGAAAGAAUAGGAAGAAUCAAUGACGGUACUAUUUAUAAGGUCCGGCUAACUACGUGCCAGCAGCCGCGGUAAUACGUAGGGACCAAGCGUUGUUCGGAUUUACUGGGCGUAAAGGGCGCGUAGGCGGCGUUGUAAGUCACUUGUGAAAUCUCUGUGCUUAACUCAGAACGGCCAAGUGAUACUGCAGUGCUAGAGUGUGGAAGGGGCAAUCGGAAUUCUUGGUGUAGCGGUGAAAUGCGUAGAUAUCAAGAGGAACACCUGAGGGAAGACGGGUUGCUAGUCCAAACACUGACGCGAGGCGCGAAA